rnacentral:rRNA from 1 species
UACGAAGGGGGCUAGCGUUGCUCGGAAUCACUGGGCGUAAAGCGCACGUAGGCGGAUUGUUAAGUCAGGGGUGAAAUCCUGGAGCUCAACUCCAGAACUGCCUUUGAUACUGGCGAUCUUGAGUCCGGGAGAGGUGAGUGGAACUGCGAGUGUAGAGGUGAAAUUCGUAGAUAUUCGCAAGAACACCAGUGGCGAAGGCGGCUCACUGGCCCGGUACUGACGCUGAGGUGCGAAAGCGUGGGGAGCAAACAGGGAUUAAGAAACCCGGGGUGAGUCC